rnacentral:rRNA from 1 species
GGCACAAGCGGUGGAGUAUGUGGUUUAAUUCGAUGCAACGCGAAGAACCUUACCUGGUCUUGACAUCCCGGAGACCCUUAGGAAACUAGGGGGUGCUUCCAUCUGGAAGAAUCUGGAGACAGGUGCUGCAUGGCUGUCGUCAGCUCGUGUCGUGAGAUGUUGGGUUAAGUCCCGCAACGAGCGCAACCCUUGCCUUUAGUUGCCAGCAGUUCGGCUGGGCACUCUAAAGGGACUGCCGGUGUUAAACCGGAGGAAGGUGGGGAUGACGUCAAGUCCUCAUGGCCUUUAUGACCAGGGCUACACACGUACUACAAUGGCCGAUACAAAGGGCAGCGACACUGCGAGGUGAAGCCAAUCCCGUAAAAUCGGUCUCAGUCCGGAUUGGAGUCUGCAACUCGACUCCAUGAAGUUGGAAUCGCUAGUAAUCGUGGAUCAGCAUGCCACGGUGAAUACGUUCCCGGGCCUU